rnacentral:lncRNA from 1 species
UGAAUGUCGAGACACUUACCAAGAGUCGAGUCUACAAAGGCACCUCGACUUAGUUACCGACUGCCUCCUGAUCUGAAAACAUGAAGUUGAAAACGGUGAGUAUAAACUUAGUGAGUGAACAAGGAAGGGAAUAAACAAUCAAUAGGAAAAUUUUGAAAAUCAUGAUGCAUUUAUUUUAAAAUAAUGUAAUUUAAAUUAGUGCUUAUCAUAACCCCUCAAGAAAAUCCCAAUUGAUUAAAUCACUUAACGUAAAGGGUCCAUACUCAACUAUGGUACCAAAGAAGUGAAAAAUAGCGCAGCAAUCGAUCAAGAUGCUAAGCGAAAUAGAAAGUUUUUCGCUGCAACGAAAUUCAAGCCAUAAAACACAAACUUUCUCGCUGCAGCGAGAACCAUGUCUGGUGAAACCCUCGAAACUCGAGAGUUUCUCGCUGUAGCGAGAAUGAAUCUCGCUGCAGCGAUAAACAGGGCACCAGCAAAAAUUUCCCAUUUCCUCAAGAAAAGGCUAUCCUACUGAAAUGACAAAAAUAACAUAAAACACAUAUAAUUUCCCAAAGUUCAACAUGUCAAGUUUCGCAUGUAUUUCAAUCAUAUGCCAUAUUCAUACGCUUUUAUUUCAUAAACAUAGAUAUACAUGAAUACAUAGAUAACCACCAAUAUCACCAUCAUCACACCCAGCUCAUGUGCAUCCCCCCACAUCGUGCACAUAGCCGGAGUCAUCGUGUGCAUCCUCCCACAUCGUGCAUAGUCAGUGCCAUCGUGUACAUCCCCCCACAUCAUGCACACGAGCACUAUCAUCAUCCACCUCCCUCACCACGCCAUCACCGGCAUGUGCAUCCCCCCACAUCGUGCACACACACGGUUAUAAUCAUUACACAAUAUCAACCAUCAUGCACAGCAUAUAUAUAUAUAUAUAUAUACCAACAUAAUGUAGUAGUGCAUGAAUUCAUAACAACCACAUGUCACAACAUAAAGUCAAUUAUCAAAGGCUUGUUCCCAAGGCACUCGUUUUUAAGAAAAGUUGUAUAAAAUCAUUCAAAUGCUUUGUACAAAACAGUCAUAUUCCCAAAAUGAUUUUGAAAUGCAGUUCACUCACUGGUAUUAUUUGAGCCUUUAGUCAAUCUAACUUUCCUAAUUGUCCAAAUGGGAUGAUGGGGUUUCGUUGGAAUCUAUCAUCACAUUAGCAUCACCAAUUUGUCAAUUCACAUACUUAUAAAGUCUAAAGCUUUCUCUUAGCUUGCUUCCAAUUACCAUUUAAAUGGCUAUCUAUUUUCACUACCCUAAUCACUCUAAAAUGAGUAGAUAACCUCAACUAUAAACAUUCACAAGUCUACUUACUAAUCAUUCCCAACACUAAAAAUAAAUUCUAAUUCACUACUCACCUUAGUAGCUUGUAACUUUGAAAUUCUUUCCAAUAAAUUUUUCCCAACUAUUAUGGGAGCUUUCUCUCUCUUUCUUUCUCUAAACACCUAGCUAGUGAUAGAAAGUAUGAAAGUGGAAUUUUUUUCAAGGGUUUUGAAGUAAAAGAGUGAAAGAGCACAAGGGUUCCAUGAAAAGGUGCACAAAGGCAUGAAAAUUGGAGCUAGAGAGAGAAAGUUAUGAAGUUUUUAUACCAUGCUUCCAUGGAGGGGGAAACAAAUGUGAGAUGGAAGGAAGAAGAAG